UUAGUUUGUUUGAAUGUCUGCUGCUCGCUCUUGAUGAUGCUCAUGCUAGCCAUGCUGUGAACUUGAAUAUAAACCGCUGUAUGAAGUUUAACGUUAAUUAGACCGAGGCUGCCGAAAUCAUGUUCAGUGUAUGUGGGAUUAAUAAUUUCCCCUUUUCUCCCUCAAGUGGCAGGCUUGUAAAUUCUGUCAUCUGUUCAUUAUUGGUGUUGAUGGUGUUUUUCACAUGCACGCUUUUUAAUGCUAGUUUAAUUCUCAAAUAGAUCUGAUACUUUCGUUUCACAAAAAGUAAACAAAUUGUUCACUUUUUUAGGGCCUGGCUGCCACCAGUUGAGUCAAUGAUUCAGUGAAGAGACAGUUUGGGCAGCAGCAACAAGACAACUAUUACAAGUAGAGAUGGGUUUCAAGAACUGGUACUAAUUUGGUUCCUGACUUGUUCGACACAACCACAUAUCAUGUAAAUCAUCUCAGAGUGGAUGGCAGCAAGGAUCCAGGAUCAAGAGAUCAUUCAUCAUGGAGACUGUUCCACAGGAAGCAGUUUAUCCUGGGUGAAAAACUAAACCUGGUUGUUUCAGCAUCACUCAGGCAAGACUAAAUACAUUUAAAUUGAUUUCAGUUGGUUAUGUGUUUCAGGUCAUCCUGACCAUUCUGCUGUUCUGGA